CGAAGAACCUUACCUAGGUUGAACUACGCACGAAAAGCCACAGAGAUGUGGUGUCCUUCGGGGCGUGCGAUAGGUGGUGCAUGGCUGUCGUCAGCUCGUGUCGUGAGAUGUUGGGUUAAGUCCCGCAACGAGCGCAACCCUUAUCCUAUGUUGCCAGCGCGUAAUGGCGGGGACUCGUGGGAGACUGCCGGGGUCAACUCGGAGGAAGGUGGGGACGACGUCAAGUCAUCGUGCCCCUUAUGUCUAGGGCUGCAAACAUGCUACAAUGGCUGGUACAAAGGGCUGCGAAACCGCGAGGUCGAGCGAAUCCCAAAAAGCCAGUCUCAGUUCGGAUUGAAGUCUGCAACUCGACUUCAUGAAGCUGGAGUCGCUAGUAAUCCCGGAUCAGCAACGCCGGGGUGAAUACGUUCCCGGGCCUUGUACACACCG
rnacentral:rRNA from 1 species